UACGUAGGGUGCAAGCGUUAAUCGGAAUUACUGGGCGUAAAGCGUGCGCAGGCGGUGAUGUAAGACAGAUGUGAAAUCCCCGGGCUCAACCUGGGAACUGCAUUUGUGACUGCACGGCUAGAGUGUGUCAGAGGGGGGUAGAAUUCCACGUGUAGCAGUGAAAUGCGUAGAUAUGUGGAGGAAUACCGAUGGCGAAGGCAGCCCCCUGGGAUAACACUGACGCUCAUGCACGAAAGCGUGGGGAGCAAACAGG
rnacentral:rRNA from 1 species